CAACUUCUUAGAGAGACUGCGUACGUUUAGUACGCGGAAGUUUGAGGCAAUAACAGGUCUGUGAUGCCCUUAGAUGUUCUGGGCCGCACGCGCGCUACACUGACAAAGGCAGCAAGUUUUUCGCCUUGGCCGGAAGGUCUG
rnacentral:rRNA from 1 species